rnacentral:rRNA from 1 species
GAUGAACGCUGGCGGCGUGCUUAACACAUGCAAGUCGAACGAUGAAGCCCAGCUUGCUGGGUGGAUUAGUGGCGAACGGGUGAGUAACACGUGAGUAACCUGCCCUUGACUCUGGGAUAAGCCCGGGAAACUGGGUCUAAUACCGGAUAGGAGCGCCUGUCGCAUGACGGGUGCUGGAAAGAUUUGUCGGUCAUGGAUGGACUCGCGGCCUAUCAGCUUGUUGGUGAGGUAAUGGCUCACCAAGGCGACGACGGGUAGCCGGCCUGAGAGGGUGACCGGCCACACUGGGACUGAGAGACGGCCCAGACUCCUACGGGAGGCAGCAGGGGGGAAUAUUGCACAAUGGGCGGAAGCCUGAUGCAGCGACGCCGCGGGAGGGAUGACGGCCUUCGGGUUGUAAACCUCUUUCAGUAGGGAGGAAGCGGAAGUGACGGUACCUGCAGAAGAAGCACCGGCUAACUACGUG